UACGUAGGGGGCAAGCGUUGUCCGGAAUUAUUGGGCGUAAAGAGCUCGUAGGCGGUCUGUCGCGUCAGGAGUGAAAACUCGGGGCUUAACCCCGAGCCUGCUUCUGAUACGGGCAGACUAGAGGUAUGCAGGGGAGAACGGAAUUCCUGGUGUAGCGGUGAAAUGCGCAGAUAUCAGGAGGAACACCGGUGGCGAAGGCGGGUCUCUGGGCCGAUACUGACGCUGAGGAGCGAAAGCGUGGGGAGCGAACAGG
rnacentral:rRNA from 1 species